rnacentral:tRNA from 1 species
CGAAGUAUAGCUUAACGCAAAGCACCUUGCUUACACCAAGAAGAAAUUCUGUCACACGAACUACUUCGAG